rnacentral:rRNA from 1 species
CCUACGGGGGGCUGCAGUGGGGAAUAUUGGACAAUGGGCGAAAGCCUGAUCCAGCCAUGCCGCGUGUGUGAAGAAGGCCUUCGGGUUGUAAAGCACUUUCAGUGGGGAAGAAAGCCUUGGGGCUAAUACCCUCGAGGAAGGACAUCACCCACAGAAGAAGCACCGGCUAACUCCGUGCCAGCAGCCGCGGUAAUACGGAGGGUGCGAGCGUUAAUCGGAAUUACUGGGCGUAAAGCGCGCGUAGGCGGUCUGAUAAGCCGGUUGUGAAAGCCCCGGGCUCAACCUGGGAACGGCAUCCGGAACUGUCAGGCUAGGGUGCAGGAGAGGAAGGUAGAAUUCCCGGUGUAGCGGUGAAAUGCGUAGAGAUCGGGAGGAAUACCAGUGGCGAAGGCGGCCUUCUGGACUGACACUGACGCUGAGGUGCGAAAGCGUGGGUAGCAAACAGGAUUAGAUACCCCAGUAGUC